CUGAUAUUUCAGAAAUGAGUGUGGAUUACCUUGCCAUGCGAGUCAAAAAGCGACUGCGUGAGCUCAGGGCUGCCAUCAAAGUCUGGAUAAGGAUUUCUCAAGGCUCUCGUUUCCAUUUCUCUUUCGACCAGCUUGAAUAAGCGCUUCGUCUUCAAUGGCCCAACCAGAGACCUGAUUUACGCCCAAUUGAGCAUCUCUGAAAAGACCUGAAAAUGGCUCCCUGCUAAAAUUCACCAUCCAACCCGACAAAUAUGGAGAGGAUCUGCAAGAAGGAAUGGCAGAGGAUCCCAAAACCCAGUCAGCGUGGAAGCACGUAAAUUGAGGAAACUGCACCAGGUUUCGGGAUUCAAGAGCAUCCCCGACCGAUGAGUAUUUCUGAUGGAGCAUCCCUGAUGUGCGCUGUUGUCCACAUGUACUUCCAAGUUUGCAUCGUAUAAACACCAAUA